GGGGUAGAGCACUGUUAAGGCUAGGGGGUCAUCCCGACUUACCAACCCUUUGCAAACUCCGAAUACCAGUAAGUACUAUCCGGGAGACACACGGCGGGUGCUAACGUCCGUCGUGGAGAGGGAAACAACCCAGACCGCCAGCUAAGGUCCCAAAUUACUACUAAGUGGGAAACGAUGUGGGAAGGCUCAGACAGCCAGGAUGUUGGCUUAGAAGCAGCCAUCAUUUAAAGAAAGCGUAAUAGCUCACUGGUCGAGUCGGCCUGCGCGGAAGAUGUAACGGGGCUAAGUAGUAAACCGAAGCUGCGGCAAUGUGCUUUUGCACAUUGGGUAGGGGAGCGUUCUGUAAGCGGUUGAAGGUGUGUGGUAACGCAUGCUGGACGUAUCAGAAGUGCGAAUGCUGACAUGAGUAACGAUAAAGGGGGUGAAAAACCUCCUCGCCGGAAGACCAAGGGUUCCUGUCCAACGUUAAUCGGGGCAGGGUAAGUCGACCCCUAAGGCGAGGCCGAAAGGCGUAGUCGAUGGUAAACGGGUUAAUAUUCCCGUACUUCUUACAAUUGCGAUGGGGGGACGGAGAAGGCUAGGUGGGCCUGGCGACGGUUGUCCAGGUUCAAGUGCGUAGGCUUAAGAGUUAGGUAAAUCCGGCUCUUUUUAAGGCUGAGACACGACGUCGAGCACCUACGGGUGUGAAGUCAUUGAUGCCAUGCUUCCAGGAAAAGCCUCUAAGCUUCAGAUUGUAAGGAAUCGUACCCCAAACCGACACAGGUGGUCGGGUAGAGAAUACCAAGGCGCUUGAGAGAACUCGGGUGAAGGAACUAGGCAAAAUGGUACCGUAACUUCGGGAGAAGGUACGCUCUCGACGGUGAAGUCCCUUGCGGAUGGAGCUAUUGAGAGUCGCAGAUACCAGGUGGCUGCAACUGUUUAUUAAAAACACAGCACUGUGCAAAAUCGUAAGAUGACGUAUACGGUGUGACGCCUGCCCGGUGCCGGAAGGUUAAUUGAUGGGGUUAGACUUCGGUCGAAGCUCUUGAUCGAAGCCCCGGUAAACGGCGGCCGUAACUAUAACGGUCCUAAGGUAGCGAAAUUCCUUGUCGGGUAAGUUCCGACCUGCACGAAUGGCGUAAUGAUGGCCACGCUGUCUCCACCCGAGACUCAGUGAAAUUGAAAUCGCUGUGAAGAUGCAGUGUACCCGCGGCUAGACGGAAAGACCCCGUGAACCUUUACUACAGCUUGGCACUGAACAUUGACCCUACAUGUGUAGGAUAGGUGGGAGGCUUUGA
rnacentral:rRNA from 1 species